UGGGGAAUAUUGCACAAUGGGCGCAAGCCUGAUGCAGCCAUGCCGCGUGUGUGAAGAAGGCCUUCGGGUUGUAAAGCACUUUCAGCGAGGAGGAAGGUGGUGAGCUUAAUACGCUCAUCAAUUGACGUUACUCGCAGAAGAAGCACCGGCUAACUCCGUGCCAGCAGCCGCGGUAAUACGGAGGGUGCAAAGCGUUAAUCGGAAUUACUGGGCGUAAAGCGCACGCAGGCGGUUUGUUAAGUCAGAUGUGAAAAUCCCCCGGGCUCAACCUGGGAACUGCAUUUGAAAACUGGCAAGCUAGAGUCUCGUAGAGGGGGGUAGAAUUCCAGGUGUAGCGGUGAAAAUGCGUAGAGAUCUGGAGGAAUACCGGUGGCGAAGGCGGCCCCCUGGACGAAGACUGACGCUCAGGUGCGAAAAGCGUGGGGAGCAAAACAGGAUUAGAUAACCCCUGGUAGUCCCACGCUGUAAAACGAUGUCGAUUUUGGAGGUUGUGCCCUUGAGGCGUGGCUUCCGGAGCUAACGCGUUAAAUCGACCGCCUGGGGAGUACGGCCGCAA
rnacentral:rRNA from 1 species